AAUCAACGCUGGCGGCGUGCCUCAGACAUGCAAGUCGAACGAUUAAAGCUCUCUUCGGAGAGUGUAUAGAGUGGCGCACGGGUGAGUAACACGUAAGUAAUCUACCUUUGAGUGGGGAAUAACAAUCGGAAACGAUUGCUAAUACCGCAUAAUGCAGCGGCAUCGCAAGAUGACAGUUGUUAAAGGAGCAAUCCGCUUAAAGAGGAGCUUGCGGCAGAUUAGCUAGUUGGUAAGGUAAUGGCUUACCAAGGCUACGAUCUGUAUCCGGUCUAAGAGGACGGUCGGACACACUGACACUGAAUAACGGGUCAGACUCCUACGGGAGGCAGCAGUCGGGAAUUUUGGGUCAAUGGGCGAAAGCCUGACCCAGCAACGCCGCGUGAAGGAUGAAGUAUUUCGGCAUGUAAACUUCGAAAGAAUAGGAAGAAUAAAUGACGGUACUAUUUAUAAGGUCCGGCUAACUACGUGCCAGCCGCCGCUGUAAU
rnacentral:rRNA from 1 species